rnacentral:rRNA from 1 species
AUUGAACGCUGGCGGCAUGCUUUACACAUGCAAGUCGAACGGUAACAGGCCGCAAGGUGCUGACGAGUGGCGAACGGGAGAGUAAUGCAUCGGAACGUGCCCAGUCGUGGGGGAUAACGCAGCGAAAGCUGUGCUAAUACCGCAUACGAUCUGUGGAUGAAAGCGGGGGACCUUCGGGCCUCGCGCGAUUGGAGCGGCCGAUGUCAGAUUAGGUAGUUGGUGGGGUAAAGGCUCACCAAGCCGACGAUCUGUAGCUGGUCUGAGAGGACGACCAGCCGCACUGGGACUGAGACACGGCCCAGACUCCUACGGGAGGCAGCAGUGGGGAAUUUUGGACAAUGGGCGCAAGCCUGAUCCAGCAAUGCCGCAUGCAGGAAGAAGGCCUUCGGGUUGUAAACUGCUUUUGUACGGAGCGAAAAGGCUCCCUCUAAUACAGGGGGCUCAUGACGGUACCGUAAGAAUAAGCACCGGCUAACUACGUGCCAGCAGCCGCCGUAAUAC